rnacentral:rRNA from 2 species
CUGAUGGAGCAACGCCGCGUGAGUGAAGAAGGUUUUCGGAUCGUAAAACUCUGUUAUUGGAGAAGAACGUAUUUGGUAGUAACUGGCCAGAUAGUGACGGUAUCCAAUCAGAAAGCCACGGCUAACUACGUGCCAGCAGCCGCGGUAAUACGUAGGUGGCAAGCGUUGUCCGGAUUUAUUGGGCGUAAAGCGAGUGCAGGCGGUUUUUUAAGUCUGAUGUGAAAGCCUUCGGCUUAACCGAAGAAAUGCAUUGGAAACUGGGAAACUUGAGUGCAGAAGAGGAGAGUGGAACUCCAUGUGUAGCGGUGAAAUGCGUAGAUAUAUGGAAGAACACCAGUGGCGAAGGCGGCUCUCUGGUCUGUAACUGACGCUGAGGCUCGAAAGCGUGGGUAGCAAACAGGAUUAGAUACCCUGGUAGUCCACGCCGUAAACGAUGAGUGCUAAGUGUUGGAGGGUUUCCGCCCUUCAGUGCUGCAGCUAACGCAUUAAGCACUCCGCCUGGGGAGUACGACCGCAAGGUUGAAACUCAAAGGAAUUGACGGGGGCCCGCACAAGCGGUGGAGCAUGUGGUUUAAUUCGAAGCAACGCGAAGAACCUUACCAGGUCUUGACAUCUAGCGCCAAUCCUAGAGAUAGGACGUUCCCUUCGGGGACGCUAAGACAGGUGGUGCAUGGUUGUCGUCAGCUCGUGUCGUGAGAUGUUGGGUUAAGUCCCGCAACGAGCGCAACCCUUAUUAUCAGUUGCCAGCAUUCAGUUGGGCACUCUGGUGAGACUGCCGGUGACAAACCGGAGGAAGGUGGGGAUGACGUCAAAUCAUCAUGCCCCUUAUGACCUGGGCUACACACGU